rnacentral:rRNA from 1 species
UGGGGAAUAUUGCACAAUGGGCGCAAGCCUGAUGCAGCCAUGCCGCGUGUGUGAAGAAGGCCUUCGGGUUGUAAAGUACUUUCAGCGGGGAGGAAGGGAGUAAAGUUAAUACCUUUGCUCAUUGACGUUACCCGCAGAAGAAGCACCGGCUAACUCCGUGCCAGCAGCCGCGGUAAUACGGAGGGUGCAAGCGUUAAUCGGAAUUACUGGGCGUAAAGCGCACGCAGGCGGUUUGUUAAGUCAGAUGUGAAAUCCCCGGGCUCAACCUGGGAACUGCAUCUGAUACUGGAAAGCUUGAGGAUCGUAGAGUGGGGUAGAAUUCCAGGUGUAGCGGUGAAAUGCGUAGAGAUCUGGAGGAAUACCGGUGGCGAAGGCGGCCCCCUGGACGAAGACUGACGCUCAGGUGCGAAAGCGUGGGGAGCAAACAGG